GACCGCGUAGCUCAGUUGGAAGAGCAUUGGGCUAGUAUUCCAAAGAUCGUAGGUUCGAUUCCCACCGUGGUCA
rnacentral:tRNA from 1 species